GGAGGGAAAGCAGGGGAUCGAAAGACCUCGUGCUUCAUGAGUGGCCGAUGUCUGAUUAGCUAGUUGGUAAGGUAAAGGCUUACCAAGGCAAUGAUCAGUAGCUGGUCUGAGAGGACGAUCAGCCACACUGGGACUGAGACACGGCCCAGACUCCUACGGGAGGCAGCAGUGGGGAAUUUUGGACAAUGGGCGAAAGCCUGAUCCAGCCAUGCCGCGUGAGUGAAGAAGGCCUUCGGGUUGUAAAGCUCUUUCGGUCGGGAAGAAAUAGCUAUAAAUAAUAAAUAUAGUAAAUGACGGUACCGACAUAAGAAGCACCGGCUAACUACGUGCCAGCAGCCGCGGUAAUACGAAGGGUGCAAGCGUUAAUCGGAAUUGUUGGGCGUAAAGGGUGCGCAGGCGGUGCUGUAAGUCAGAUGUGAAAUCCCCGGGCUUAACCUGGGAAUUGCGUUUGAAACUACAAGGCUA
rnacentral:rRNA from 1 species